GUGAACCACGAAAACCCUCACUCGCGGCGGGCCGCACGCGCGCCGAAUCCGGAGGGUCACCAAGAACCUGCGCACCAUGUUCUCGCCGCCUCCACUGCCGAGCUCGGCAGCCGCUGCGCCGCCCUUUGGCACCAGAGAUUUGGAAAACAAGCGAAAUUAAACGAAACCGCUGCACGCCUCCGACGCGACAUCUGGACACGGCGUGGCGCUGGCGCUGCGGGAGCUGCGGGCCGGGCCUGGCGCCGGACUAGAAACAAGUUGGAUAUGGACAAGAUGUAAUUUCUGCUGUCAAGGAACCCACAGGAUAACAGGAAAAGAAAAAUACGACACAUAGCCGUGGUUGAAGAAGACAUGUACUUUCAUCUGAGAAGACAUCUGAAAAUAUUCUGGUCACCAUUAAACUAUAUCCAAUUUU